AGGAUGAAUCCAAAUUUCUGGCUGUUGAUACAGAUUAUGAUCAACGUAGUCUAGCCUCAGGAGGCUUAUCUCCUUAUGCAUCACAUCAAGGAGUGGGUCCAGAGCAACAGACAAGAGUACUGGUUAGGUCAGGCCCUUCUGAGAGUCCUGCUAGUUUUGAUCUUUUUGGUGGUCAGCAAAUGAACGGUCAGCAAUCAAACAUGCUGCAAUCUUUGCAACAACAGCAGUCUAGGCUAAACGAAAUGCAGCAACUGCAACAGCAAGCCAUGUUCAUGAAGAUGCAAGAACUUCAGAGGCAACAGCAAGUAGAUGCCGGUCCACAAAAUCUAGUGAAUCAGGUUCCCCCUGUUCCUAAGGUGGCA
rnacentral:misc_RNA from 1 species